rnacentral:rRNA from 1 species
CAGCCGUAAACAAUGUGCGUUAGGUGUGUCGGUAACCACGCGUUACUGAUGCGCCGAAGAGAAAUCGUGAAACGCACCACCUGGGAAGUACGGUCGCAAGGCUGAAACUUAAAGGAAUUGGCGGGGGAGCACCACAACAGGUGGAGCCUGCGGUUUAAUUGGAUUCAACGCCGGACAUCUCACCGGAUAAGACAGCUGAAUGAUUGCCGGGCUGAAGACCCUGCAUGACCAGCUGAGAGGUGGUGCAUGGCGUAGUCGUGU